rnacentral:rRNA from 1 species
CACGGGUGCUUGCACCUGGUGGCGAGUGGCGAACGGGUGAGUAAUACAUCGGAACAUGUCCUGUAGUGGGGGAUAGCCCGGCGAAAGCCGGAUUAAUACCGCAUACGAUCUACGGAUGAAAGCGGGGGACCUUCGGGCCUCGCGCUAUAGGGUUGGCCGAUGGCUGAUUAGCUAGUUGGUGGGGUAAAGGCCCACCAAGGCGACGAUCAGUAGCUGGUCUGAGAGGACGACCAGCCACACUGGGACUGAGACACGGCCCAGACUCCUACGGGAGGCAGCAGUGGGGAAUUUUGGACAAUGGGCGAAAGCCUGAUCCAGCAAUGCCGCGUGUGUGAAGAAGGCCUUCGGGUUGUAAAGCACUUUUGUCCGGAAAGAAAUCCUGAGGGCUAAUAUCCUUCGGGGAUGACGGUACCGGAAGAAUAAGCACCGGCUAACUACGUGCCAGCAGCCGCGGUAAUACGUAG